UACGUAGGGGGCAAGCGUUGUCCGGAUUUAUUGGGCGUAAAGAGCGUGUAGGCGGCCAUACAGGUCCGUUGUGAAAACUGGAGGCUUAACCUCCAGACGUCGAUGGAAACCGUAUGGCUAGAGUCCGGAAGAGGAGAGUGGAAUUCCUGGUGUAGCGGUGAAAUGCGCAGAUAUCAGGAAGAACACCGGUGGCGAAGGCGGAUCUCUGGGCCUUACCUGACGCUGAGGCGCGAAAGCUAGGGGAGCAAACAGG
rnacentral:rRNA from 1 species